rnacentral:sRNA from 1 species
AAAUGAGGAAAGUGAACUUGAAGAAGAAAGAAGACUUUGUUAUGUUGGUAUAACUAGAGCUAAAGAAAGGCUUUAUAUUACUAAUGC